rnacentral:tRNA from 1 species
GCGCGUGUAGCACAAUGGCUAGUGCAUCGGCCUUCCAAGCCGAGGAUACGGGUUCGAUUCCCGUCACGCGCUCCA